CUCUCUCUCUCUCUCUCUCAAGACUACUAUCUCUUUCUAAAACAAGAAAGAAGAAAGAGGAAGUGGAAAAUUCAAAUACGAAUAAGAGUUAUAAUUAAGACCCAGUAAAAGCCCAAGGCAUGGGACUGCCAUGUUGAACAAAAGAAACAAAAAGAAAGUGAAGGAAAGUGCAAAAAGAAAAGAAAAUAAACAAAUCCUAGUAAUAUAAUAUAGCUGAGAUUGUUGAAGAAAGAGAGAGACUUGCUUGGUGAAGUCUAACAUCAAAGUAGUCGGUAGAAGAGCCGUUGGUUUGAUUUGGUUUUGGUUUUGGUUUUUGGUUUGAUUGGAUGUGUGAAGGCCUAAGGCGAAGCCUCUGAAGCAGCCAUUUUCAAGGAAAUACCAGUAGCCAAGUUGGUAAACCAUCCAUUCUCAUUCAAAGGAGAGAGAGAGAGAAGAAAGA
rnacentral:misc_RNA from 1 species